rnacentral:rRNA from 1 species
UAGCUUUAUAGAAAGCGUUAAAGCUUAUUUAUAGAAAUCAAUUCGGACAAUUUUAAGAGAAAUUGCUUUAAAUUAUAAUAUAUUAUAGGAAAAUUCCAUUUAUGUAGUUUGGAAGAUAUAAUGCUGGAAUUAGUAGAGAGCUAAAAAUUAGUAUUACUUGUGAAUUAAUCAAUCCUAACUUUGGAUGGAAUAAUUAUCUAUAGUCGAGAAGUAAAUUUAUUUUGAUUGUCUGCUAACGCAAGCAAUACUUAGUAGUAAAACUAGGAGAAAGGAACUCGGCAAAUUGAGAUCUNNNNNNNNNNNNNNNNNNNNCGCCCUUUGUAAAAAAAUUGAUGUAUAAAGGGUCCUGCCUGCCCAGUGACUAAGUUAAACGGCCGCGGUAUCUUGACCGUGCAAAGGUAGCAUAAUCAUUUGCCUUUUAAAUGGGGGCUGGAAUGAAUGGCAAGACGGGGAUCUAGCUGUCUCUCUCUUACACCUCGAAGUUAAUAUUUUCGUGAAGAAGCGAAAAUAAAGUCGCAGGACGAGAAGACCCUNUNGAGCUUAAGUAGAAAUUGGAUGUGGCAUGUAGUGUAAUUCCGUUGCUAAUUAUUCAUUGUAAUGAUUUUUAUUUUACAAGCGAGAGUGAAAGUGUAACGCAUCUAUACUUAGGUUGGGGCAACCGCGGAGAACAGCUAUCCUCCGCUUUGGUAGAUAAGGUAAAGAAACCUCUUUCCUACAUAGAAUUAAUUGAAAGUGAUCCACUUUUAGGGGUGAACAAAGGAAGAAGUUACCGCAGGGAUAACAGCGUAAUUUUCUUGGAGAGUUCAUAUUGAUAAGAAAGUUUGCGACCUCGAUGUUGGAUCGGGAUUUCCUGGGGAUGCAGCAGUUCCCAAGGGUUGGUCUGUUCGACCAUUAAAAUCCU